rnacentral:rRNA from 1 species
AUUGAACGCUGGCGGCAUGCUUUACACAUGCAAGUCGAACGGUAACAGGCCGCAAGGUGCUGACGAGUGGCGAACGGGUGAGUAAUGCAUCGGAACGUGCCCAGUCGUGGGGGAUAACGCAGCGAAAGCUGCGCUAAUACCGCAUACGAUCUAUGGAUGAAAGCGGGGGACCGUAAGGCCUCGCGCGAUUGGAGCGGCCGAUGUCAGAUUAGGUAGUUGGUGGGGUAAAGGCUCACCAAGCCAACGAUCUGUAGCUGGUCUGAGAGGACGACCGGCCACACUGGGACUGAGAAACGGCCCAGACUCCUACGGGAGGCAGCAGUGGGGAAUUUUGGACAAUGGGCGCAAGCCUGGUCCAGCAAUGCCGCGUGCAGGAAGAAGGCCUUCGGGUUGUAAACUGCUUUUGUACGGAACGAAACGGUCCUGGUUAAUACCUGGGGCUAAUGACGGUACCGUAAGAAUAAGCACCGGCUAACUACGUGCCAGCCGCCGCCGUAAAAC